UUUAGGUCUCUGAGUCUGCAAGACUGCCAUGCAGGCCUCCCCUGAGCUUGUCAGGUUGGCAUGUGGCCCCUUUUGUCCACACUGCACAUGCUUAAAAAUGCAGUGAGCAACACUGAAAAUCCUACCUAUACCCCAUGCGAAGCCACAUACAUAGGUCUCCCAGAGACAUUGCAGGGCCAUUUUAAACUGUCACAGAGAAUUGGAAGCCCAGCAUGCAAGGAAUCAUUUUCAAGGUCCCAGGUGUGUGGUGAUUUUGCUCAGGAAUAUGGACCCAGGUACCCAAUUAGUCCGAAUAAGACUAGAAUUAUAUGUGCGAGAGUCAUGGAGAAUGGCAUGAAUCACUAACUGUUGGUAUGUAUUUUCCUCCAAGCAGCUUUUUCUCCAAGUUCAAGGCAUCAAAGGCAUCAUCAGAUAUUGAUAUAGAGGAACGUGGAUUUUGGAGAAGGCGGGCCCUUUGGCUGAAAAAUAUGUAUGGCGGCAAGAAACACAAGCGGAAGUCACAGGAGCAGGAGUUGUUCCAAAAAACGAAGUGGAGUAAAUCCUCCCCUUCAUUAACACACAUUAAUGACUCAGAGUCUACAGAGGAGACAGGAGGGGAAAUUACUUCCUAAAAUCUCAGGAAUGAACCCCACCUUAAGGCUUAUUAAUAAAGCACGAGUGGCUCAGUGCAUGAAAUUCGUGCCUGGGGGGGGUGUCCCUUAGCCCGGCAUGUACCCUCUCCAAUCUGGGACACCUCGGGGGAUGUUGGACAUCCCUCUGUCAAUCUGGGACCAGUGGCUCCUAACCGCUUGCCUGCCUGCCUGCCUGCCUGAUUGCCUCUA